GUUGUGUAAAAUUUAAUACAUCUUUGUACAAGCUUUAGUGUUUGCUUUUGCUUUAAAAUGGCACAGCAGAAAGAGCAGCAAAAUGCAAGUGACAAGCACAAACCAGGAAGUAAAGUUACACAAAAGAAAGAGAAGCAAAACGUGAAGCUUGAACAUAGCCAUGGCAAAACUUUUACUCAAAAAUGCCUCGAUCUUAUAUACUGUGGCUGUUUCCGUAAGCAAUCCGUUGUUGAAAAAUAAGAAAUCGCAAAGGUGGCUGCUGAUUACUUCAGGGUUGCACAAACUUGCUACUUUCAAGUUUCAACUGAAGAGUUCACAAGGCAUGCAUGAGCCAUAUCUAGUGUGCUACUAGUAUUUUAUCGUGUAAGAGAGUAUUCACUUUGCAUGAGUGUAUUUAUAAUUUAGUAAGUAAUUUGUGGGAUAUUUAUCUCUGUUUCUUUGUUCUCAAAGUUCUGUACUUGAUCAUCAUCGAUCAAGGUUAAUUAUAUUCCUUCUGAAAAUAACAUAUG